GUUUACGGCCAUGCUACCCUGAACACGCCCAAUCCUGUCUGAUCUCGGAAGCUAAGCAGGGUCGGGCCUGGUUAGUACUUGGAUGGGAGACUACCUAGAAAGCCCAGGUGCUGCAGGCG
rnacentral:rRNA from 1 species